UGAGGACCCUCCAGGCCCGAGCGCGGGGCGUCUGCUCGCGUCCCUGCGGCCCAGGUCCGGUGUCCGGGCCCGGGAGGUGCUCGCGGGCGGGGACCCCCGCGUCUGAGCGCCCGCGUGAAGGGGUGCGGGAGCGGGCUGCUGGGGCGGGGCCGGCUGGUGCAGGGCUGUAGGGGGCGCCGAGGGAGAGGAUUCGGGAGUGUGGGGGUCCGCCCUCUGCCCUCGGGAAACAGAGGGUGUGCGGCGGGGGCACGGCGGUCAGGAGGGUUGUCCCUUCAUAUGAGGACUCUAGACGGCAAGGAGAGUUCUGGCCAAAGGAGGGACAUGAUUUCCAUUAGGGUUUUAAAACUCCCCCAGACAGUUCAAAGGAAGACCAGAUUGGAGGAGGGUUCGUUGAGACCCUGGGAGGGUGGAUCUUUGUGCAAGGUCACACAGCUGCUAAAAGGCCAUACUGAGCACUGACGCCCAGUGGUUAGACAGCCAGUCUGAGGUCACUUGGCUUCAGGACCUGGGAGGGGUAGAGAAGGGCAUGAGCCCAUCCACCUCCCUUUCCACCACCGUCGCAUAACACCUGGCUUUUCCCGCAGAGUUCCAGGACUGCAGAAAUACUUAGGGAACCAACACAGGUAUGUGGAGGGGGCCCUGAUCCCUUACUGGCCCUGAAUGCCACUCAGAUGGCAGUCCUGGGACUCUUAUGUGCCAUUUUCCCAGUCCUUGGGUCUGGGGACCCUAGAGAAACCCCAUCUCAGGGUCCUGAGCUCAUGCCAGGGGCUAUACGCAGGUGUUCCAUUCCUGUCAGCUAUCAUGAAGGAGUGUGUGGAGUUAACCCAGGGUCAGGUACCAGGAAGUGCAAAUACAUAAAGGUAAAGCUGAGCUCAGGGUGUUCAGGAACCACGUGUCUCCUUUUCUGAUAUGAACAAAGAGCAGGUGUCAGGACGGGAAUGACUGUCUGAAAAGUUGGGUGUGUAUUCUGGAGGUGGUGGGAGGUUUGGGCCAGAGGAGAGAGGUAAUGUUAGCAAGGUGGAAACAGUCUCCUUCUGACUGUAAAGUGGAGAACAGACCAUGGGAAUGAGAGAGGAGCAAGGAAAGCCAGGGUGGAAGCUACUACUAUAGUCUAGGUGAGGGUUAAUGGACCGGGGCUGUGGUUUAGGGUGGUUGCAUUUCUGGAAGUGGCCAUGGGAUACAAGUUUUAAAACAGGGAAACUGGGUUUUCUCAUGUGGGUGGUGAGGGAGGCAAACGGAGGUAUCAGGGAUAACCCCAGAGUGAUUGAUCUUCGCACCUGUAGGGAUGGAAGUUCCAACUGAGAUGAGGAAGUUGGUAGUAGGAAUAAUAUUCACUGGGGAUAUCAGGAGCUUUGUUUUGGCCACGUUAGGAGUCUGAGAUAUUUCAGAGAUCACUUAGUGGAGGCAUCGAAUUGGCAUCUAGAAACGCAAGUUGGGAAAUCAAAAGAGGGGUUCAAAUUGAAGACAUUCAAAAUGUGGUAGUUACUCUAUGGGCCCAAGUAAGUAACCUGUGGUUACAUUUAGGAGAUAUAAUCUUCAUAUUCGUGGUCAUGAAGCUGUUUAUGGGCCAGGAGGUGGAGGGUAGAGACUGAGCACUAGGUCUCUUGCUUGGGACCUGAGUGACGGCAUUGGAAUUCUUAAAUGCAGGUGAGGGAGGUAUGUGGCACUUAAGGUAGGGUGUAUCAGACAGACUAGUCUAGCAGGUGGCUGAGGCUUCCAGGAUAAGAGUGGACAUGAGAGACGUAGCGGGAAGGGGUAAUUGAGGCAAGAUGUCACUCAGGCCAGAGCUCUUGUUUAUUCACGUCUCUGUGGAUCCACCAAGAUUUGUGAGGAUUUGGUGGGGGCUGGGAUGUUUCAUUCAGCCUGGUGGGUAUGAUCAGGGGCAAAUAUAUGGUCAUCUGUGAGAAUCAGUAGGACUGGGGUGGGUGAUACAUGGACCGGGCUCUGAAUGAGGGUUAGGUGGACACAGAAGGUUGUCAUUGCCGAGGAGACAGCCUGUGCAGCACAGAAAUGGAAGAGGGCCCUGGGUAUUGAGACCCACAACUGAUUCUGUGUGGCUGAGUCUCAGUAGGGAGGCCUUCAUAGAAGGAUUAGGUGUUUCCAACUCUAGUGGGAGCCAUGGGCAUUCUUGGCUUGUAUUGGGUUCUGUUUGAAUUUGCCAAGUAGCUCUGGAUGUUUUCUGCUAAGUUCAUUUUAUGGCUUAAAAUUAAGGCCCAUUUUUAUGUGCUGCCUUUACACCUGUUGAAGCCCCAAGUGGCUGAUGUGGCCAAGAGUGUAUUCUUGGGUAAAGUGUCCUAGCCAGCCAUCCCUUUUCAUCGAGAGGACCAGAGCACUUCCUGCUUUGGCCUUUGAAGUGGGCUUCACUUGUCUACCGGCCCAUGGAGUUAUUCACACAAGCCGUUCACAUCAUCCUGUGGGAACCAGAUGGUACCCCAACUCUUGAUCUUGUGAGACUUGCAUCUCACAGCCCCUGGUCGUUCACUCUUUUCUAGUAUACAGCAUUCACAUGGCCCUGUAAGGCGUGUGGUGUCCUCCCCUCUGGGCUGUGAAUAUAUGUAGUAAACUGCUGUUGAUCUCAUCUGUCCAGUGUCCGGUACUUUGUGUUUGGCCGUCCCCAUAAGCCUAAGACAGGAAUUCUCAAACAAAAGUGACUUAUAGGGAGGCCAAGGAGAUGCCUGUGCCACGUGGCAUUGUGCCACCAGUGUCCAGGAACAUGAGGCUGUGCAUUCUGAAGAAUACUUGGAGAGGGAGUAUGUCUGAAGGUCCCAGGGCCCUAGGAAUGACACUUACACGACAGAUCAUAUCAGGGUGGAGGAGUAGCUUGACAGAAGUGGGUGCAUUCAUCCACCCAGGACCACAGCUCAGACAUCUGUUCACCUGUGUGUUGUUGCUGAUGAUCAGACCUCAUGACUCAUGAGCCCACGAGUAACCAGCAAUGCAAGCUGUCCCAAGGCCUGGUUUGUUUCCUAGGUUGGAGGCUUGGGAGGAGGGUGAUCUUGGGGUAGAUGUGUACAGGAGGGAUUGGGUACUCAGGAGAAGGGCUCUUGGUGGUUUCAUCUGUCACCAUCAUGACAGGACACUGUGACUUUUGAAGACGUGGCUGUGUACCUGUCCCGGCAGGAGUGGGGUCUCCUUGAUGAGUUUCAGAGACACUUCUACCACGAUGUGAUGCUGGAAAACUUUGAACUUACAGUCUUUCUGGGUGGUUGGUGUGGAGGAGACCACGAGGAGGAGCAUUUCUGUAGGCGUGCCACAAGUGAGGACUCCAAGGCAGGUGUGUCUGCCCAGAAGGCCUGCUCCUAGGAGAUACGAAGCCUCGUCUCGAGGGACGUUUUACACUUGGCUGCACCAGGGAGCACAUACCACGCGGAGGCUGUACACCCAUGGGGCAGGUGGGCAGUGAAUGUUUUAUUGCAGACCUCCUGUGGCACCAGAAGCAGCACAUUGGAGAGAAACACUUGCGGAGCAGAGUCUCAUUUGUGAGGAGCUACAGGUUCUGUGUCCCAGAAGCGCUUUACCUACAUGGCGAGGUGGGGCGGGGGGGUCGGGAAGGACUUCAGGAAUGACUUCUUGAGCAGCUCAGUGUCUCUUCGACGUAAGUCCCUCCCAUUGUGGAGAAGCCCAAGCGAUUACCGAGUGUGCAGUGGCCUCACGUGGUAUGAAGACUCAUUCGAAACGGAGGACGCAGGAAAGCUUUCAAGAACAGAUACACAUCUGUCCAACACCGGAGACCGCUCUAGAGGAAGACCUUCCAUGUGUGCAUCAGAAAGCUCACACUGGCUGGAGGCUUCCUGCGUGUGUGGAGUACUCAGGUGGACGCCCCGUCUCACUGAGCACCCAGAAAGUCACAUGGGAAACUUAGGUCAUUACCGUAGAUGUGCAGGGGAUGUGCGAUCUCUGUACUACUGAGAACCCUGGAGGUGGUCCCUUGUGAGGGAUCUAAAUUCCACCUGAAUUUAAACUCCUACAUCUGAACAGCCACCAAAUUCCAGGUAUGUGCGAGGUAUGUUUUCUUUUUUCAUUAAAAAAAAAAAAAACCUUUUAAUGUUUAUUUUAUUUUUGAGAGAGAGAGAGUACAAGCAGGGGAGGGACAGAGAGGGAGGCAGACACAGAAUCUGAAGCAGGCUCGAGGCUCUGAAUUGUCAGCACAGAGCCUGAUGUGGAGCUCGAACUCAAUGUGGGGCUCAAACUCCCCAACCGUGAGGCCGUGACCAGAGCCGUAGUCAGAUGCUUAAAUGACUGAGCCACCCAGGUACCUCUGGGAGAGGUAUGUUUUAAAAUCUGCCUUUGCCAGAUUUAUGCCCCCCAGUUCUGUUGCUGAAGCUGUUCUACGUCUACCCUGUGGAAGGUGCCCGUGGUAUGUGUCAUUCACUAACUACAUUGUGUUCAGGGAAGUAGCACUUUCCUGUUGGUGGAAGGGUGUCUGAGAAGCCUGAGCUUUCAUUCCUUUCUCAUUUCCUUCUCUCUGAUGAUUUAGGCCAUGGAUCUGAUCCAGUUUGGGCCUGGAAGACUCUGCUCAUGACUUGAAAACAGACUUCCUUUUUCAGGGAUGUUAUUGGUCUCACAUGACUUUUUUUUUUUUUUAAUGCUUAUUUAUUUAUUUAAAUCAUUUAUUAUUAUUAUUAUUUGAUUUACAUCCAAGUUAGUUAGCAUAUAGUGCAACAGUGAUUUCAGGAGUAGAUUCCUUAAUGCCCCUUACCCAUUUAACCCAUCCCCUCUCCCACAACCCCUCCAGUAACCCUCUGUUUGUUCUCCAUAUUUAAGAGUCUCUUCUGUUUUGUCCCCCUCCCUGUUUUUAUAUUAUUUUUGCUUCCCUUUCCUUGUGUUCAUCUGUUCUGUGUCUUAAAGUCCUCAUAUGAAUGAAGUCAUAUGUUUGUCUUUCUCUGACUAAUUUCAUUUAGCAUAAUACCCUCUAGUUCCAUCCACGUAGUUGCAAAUGGCAAGAUUUCAUUCCUUUCUGAUUGCCGAGUAAUACUCCAUUGUAUAUAAAUACUACCUCUUCUUUGUUCACUCAUCUGUCGAUGGAUAUGUGGGCUCUUUCCAUACUUUGGCUAUUGUCAAUAGCACUGCUAUAAACAUUGGGGUGCAUGUGUCCCUUCGAAACAGCAUACCUGUAUCCCUUGGGUAAAUACCUAGUAGUGCAACUGCUGGGUCGUAGGGUAGUUCUAUUUUUAAUUUUUUGAGGAACCUCCAUACUGUUUUGCAGAGUGGCUGUACCAGUUUGCAUUCCCACGAGCAGUGCAAAAGAGAUCCUCUUUCUCCUUUCCAACAUCUUUUGUUGGCCUGAGUUGUUAAUAUUAGCCACUCUGAUAGGUAUGAGGUCGUUUCUCAUGGUGGUUUUGCUUUGUAUUUCCCUGAUGAUGAAUGAUGUUGAGCAUUUUUUCAUGUGUUGGUUGGCCAUCUGGAUGUCUUCUUUGGAGCAGUGUCUACUCAUGUCUUUUGCCCAUUUUGUCACUGGAUUAUUUGGUUUUUGGGUGUUGAGUUUGAUAAGUUCUUUAUAGAUUUUGGAUACUAACCCUUUAUCUGAUAUGUCAUUUGCAAAUAUCUUCUCCCAUUCUGUCUGUUGUCUUCUAGUUUUGCUGAAUGUUUCCUUCACUAUGUAGAAGUUUUUUAUUUUGAUGAGGUCCCAAUAGUUCAUUUUUGCUUGGUUUCCUUGGCCUCUGAAGACGUGUUGAGUAAG